GUUGGGGUGGCAGAGCCUGGUCAUGCUGAAGAUCUAAGCCCUUUAUGCAGAGGUUCAAAUCCUCUCUCCAACU
rnacentral:tRNA from 1 species